GCGCUAAUAGCUCAGUUGGGAGAGCGUCAGACUGAAGUUCCACUCAGUCCGCAAAUCUGAAGGUCACCCGUUCGAUCCGGGUUUGGCGCA